rnacentral:tRNA from 1 species
GAAAUAAGAUAGCCAAGAAUAAGCUUCUAACUUAAUUCUUUAGCAGCGCAACUCUGUUAGUAUUUCU